rnacentral:rRNA from 1 species
CAGGAGAAAAGAAACUAACAAGGAUUCCCCUAGUAACUGCGAGUGAAGCGGGAAAAGCUCAAAUUUAAAAUCUGGUAGUCUUUGGCUGCCCGAGUUGUAAUCUAGAGAAGCGAUAUCCGCGCUGGACCGUGUAUAAGUCUCCUGGAAUGGAGCGUCAUAGAGGGUGAGAAUCCCGUCUUCGACACGGACUCCCAGGGCUUUGUGAUGCGCUCUCAACGAGUCGAGUUGUUUGGGAAUGCAGCUCUAAAUGGGUGGUAAAUUCCAUCUAAAGCUAAAUAUUGGCGAGAGACCGAUAGCGAACAAGUACCGUGAGGGAAAGAUGAAAAGAACUUUGGAAAGAGAGUUAAACAGUACGUGAAAUUGUUGAAAGGGAAACGCUUGAAGUCAGUCGCAUUGUCCAAGGAUCAACCUUGCUA